rnacentral:rRNA from 1 species
CUGGCUCAGAUUGAACGCUGGCGGCAGGCCUAACACAUGCAAGUCGAGCGGUAGAGAGAAGCUUGCUUCUCUUGAGAGCGGCGGACGGGUGAGUAAUGCCUAGGAAUCUGCCUGGUAGUGGGGGAUAACGUCCGGAAACGGACGCUAAUACCGCAUACGUCCUACGGGAGAAAGCAGGGGACCUUCGGGCCUUGCGCUAUCAGAUGAGCCUAGGUCGGAUUAGCUAGUUGGUGAGGUAAUGGCUCACCAAGGCGACGAUCCGUAACUGGUCUGAGAGGAUGAUCAGUCACACUGGAACUGAGACACGGUCCAGACUCCUACGGGAGGCAGCAGUGGGGAAUAUUGGACAAUGGGCGAAAGCCUGAUCCAGCCAUGCCGCGUGUGUGAAGAAGGUCUUCGGAUUGUAAAGCACUUUAAGUUGGGAGGAAGGGUACUUACCUAAUACGUGAGUAUUUUGACGUUACCGACAGAAUAAGCACCGGCUAACUCUGUGCCAGCAGCCGCGGUAAUACAGAGGGUGCAAGCGUUAAUCGGAAUUACUGGGCGUAAAGCGCGCGUAGGUGGUUCGUUAAGUUGGAUGUGAAAUCCCCGGGCUCAACCUGGGAACUGCAUCCAAAACUGGCGAGCUAGAGUAUGGUAGAGGGUGGUGGAAUUUCCUGUGUAGCGGUGAAAUGCGUAGAUAUAGGAAGGAACACCAGUGGCGAAGGCGACCACCUGGACUGAUACUGACACUGAGGUGCGAAAGCGUGGGGAGCAAACAGGUAUUAGAUACCCUGGUAGUCCACGCCGUAAACGAUGUCAACUAGCCGUUGGGAGCCUUGAGCUCUUAGUGGCGCAGCUAACGCAUUAAGUUGACCGCCUGGGGAGUACGGCCGCAAGGUUAAAACUCAAAUGAAUUGACGGGGGCCCGCACAAGCGGUGGAGCAUGUGGUUUAAUUCGAAGCAACGCGAAGAACCUUACCAGGCCUUGACAUCCAAUGAACUUUCCAGAGAUGGAUUGGUGCCUUCGGGAACAUUGAGACAGGUGCUGCAUGGCUGUCGUCAGCUCGUGUCGUGAGAUGUUGGGUUAAGUCCCGUAACGAGCGCAACCCUUGUCCUUAGUUACCAGCACGUUAUGGUGGGCACUCUAAGGAGACUGCCGGUGACAAACCGGAGGAAGGUGGGGAUGACGUCAAGUCAUCAUGGCCCUUACGGCCUGGGCUACACACGUGCUACAAUGGUCGGUACAGAGGGUUGCCAAACCGCGAGGUGGAGCUAAUCCCACAAAACCGAUCGUAGUCCGGAUCGCAGUCUGCAACUCGACUGCGUGAAGUCGGAAUCGCUAGUAAUCGCGAAUCAGAAUGUCGCGGUGAAUACGUUCCCGGGCCUUGUACACACCGCCCGUCACACCAUGGGAGUGGGUUGCACCAGAAGUAGCUAGUCUAACCUUCGGGAGGACGGUUACCACGGUGUGAUUCAUGACUGGGGUGAAGUCGUAACAA